UACGUAGGCACCAAGCGUUGUUCGGAUUCAUUGGGCGUAAAGGGUGCGUAGGCGGCGCGGUAAGUCGGGUGUGAAAUCUCGGAGCUUAACUCCGAAACUGCAUUCGAUACUGCCGUGCUUGAGGACUGGAGAGGAGACUGGAAUUUACGGUGUAGCGGUGAAAUGCGUAGAUAUCGUAAGGAAGACCAGUGGCGAAGGCGGGUCUCUGGACAGUUCCUGACGCUGAGGCACGAAGGUCAGGGGAGCAAACGGG
rnacentral:rRNA from 1 species